CCGCUCCCGGUAAAACGGGACGGCCCGCCAGAGGACCCCUAAACUCUGUUUCUAUAUGUAACUUCUGAGUAAAACCAUAAAUAAAUCAAAACUUUCAACAACGGAUCUCUUGGUUCUGGCAUCGAUGAAGAACGCAGCAAAAUGCGAUAAGUAAUGUGAAUUGCAGAAUUCAGUGAAUCAUCGAAUCUUUGAACGCACAUUGCGCCCGCCAGUAUUCUGGCGGGCAUGCCUGUUCGAGCGUCAUUUCAACCCUCAAGCACAGCUUGGUGUUGGGACUCGCGUUAAUUCGCGUUCCUCAAAUUGAUUGGCGGUCACGUCGAGCUUCCAUAGCGUAGUAGUAAAACCCUCGUUACUGGUAAUCGUCGCGGCCACGCCGUUAAACCCCAACUUCUGAAUGUUGACCUCGGAUCAGGUAGGAAUACCCGCUGAACUUAAGCAUAUCAAAACCGG
rnacentral:rRNA from 1 species